rnacentral:rRNA from 1 species
UACGAAGGGUGCAAGCGUUAAUCGGAAUUACUGGGCGUAAAGGGUGCGUAGGCGGUUCGUUAAGUCUGUCGUGAAAUCCCCGGGCUCAACCUGGGAAUGGCGAUGGAUACUGGCGAGCUAGAGUGUGUCAGAGGAUGGUGGAAUUCCCGGCGUAGCGGUGAAAUGCGUAGAGAUCGGGAGGAACAUCAGUGGCGAAGGCGGCCAUCUGGGACAACACUGACGCUGAAGCACGAAAGCGUGGGGAGCAAACAGG